AGACCCCCCCCCCCCAAAAUCCCCAUAACGGGACCCCCCCUCCUCCUCCUCCAUACCGGGGAUCCCCCCCGCCCCCCCAAUACCGGGACACCCACACCCCCCCCCCGCCAUGCGCCCCCCCUUCCCGGCCGCCCUUUGCAUCUUGGGGACCCUCCUGGCUCUGGGGGCGACAGAGACCGGCUCCAGCUGUUGGAAUUUGGGGCCCCUUGCCCGGCGGUGCCGGAAAGCUGCCUGCCCCCCACCUUGCCGGAGCGGGGGGCCAUGCCGGACCCCCCCUGCCUUCCUCACCCCCCGUUGCCAGCGAGCUGCCCCCCC